UGCAGAAAGGGUGCUCAAUCACAGAUGGA
rnacentral:piRNA from 1 species